UCGACUUGGAGGUUGUGGCUUCCGGAGCUAACGCGUUAAGUCGACCGCCUGGGGAGUACGGCCGCAAGGUUAAAACUCAAAUGAAUUGACGGGGGCCCGCACAAGCGGUGGAGCAUGUGGUUUAAUUCGAUGCAACGCGAAGAACCUUACCUGGUCUUGACAUCCAGGUGCUGCAUGGCUGUCGUCAGCUCGUGUUGUGAAAUGUUGGGUUAAGUCCCGCAACGAGCGCAACCCUUAUCCUUUGUUGCAACUCAAAGGAGACUGCCAGUGAUAAACUGGAGGAAGGCAGGGAUGACGUCAAGUCAUCAUGGCCCUUACGGUCAGGGCUACACACGUGCUACAAUGGGGCGUACAGAGGGAAACGAUACCGCGAGGUGGAGUGGAACCCAAAAAGCGUCCCUAAGUUCGGAUUGGAGUCUGCAACUCGACUCCAUGAAGUCGGAAUCGCUAGUAAUCGCAAAUCAGAUGUUGCGGUGAAUACGUUCCCGGGCCUUGUACACACCGCCCGUCACACCAUGGGAGUGGAUUGCACCAGAAGUAGCUUACCACGGUGUGGUUUAUGACUGGGGUGAAGUCGUAACAAGGUAACCGA
rnacentral:rRNA from 1 species